UGAUGGUUGGCUCAGUCAGCUGAGCGCGGCGCUAACAACGCCAAGGUCGCGGGUUCGAUUCCCGUUCGGUCCC
rnacentral:tRNA from 1 species